GUAAGUCAUCAAUAAGUUCCUCUACUAUCUAGAGACUGUCCGUAAGUUCUGCGACUCUAGAGAACCCUGGCUAAUGCACUUGCUGUGUGUUUUAGGCUGCGUUCAGACAGGACCUGGUAAUCCUUCUCUCUCAGCCUCUGGACUGCUGGGAUUAAACAGGUGCCAUCUUUGUUUGGGUUUUGAUCAGGUCUCACUGUUUUUUGAAUUUUAACAAGUUUUUUUUUUUUUUGUUGUUGUUUUUGAGACAAGGUUUUGCUGUGUAGCCCUGGCUGUGCUGGAAGUUGCUUUGUAGACCAAGCUGACCUUGAACUCCUAGAGAUCCAAUUGCCUCUGCCUUGCCAGUGCUGGGGUUAAAGGGAUGUGCCAUGUGCCGCCGCCACAUUUCGGCGGAGGGGAGAUUUAAACCAGUGUUUUUCAUUAUUUUACAUGCAUGCAUGUAUGUCCAUCACAUGCAUGCAAUGCCGUACAGGCCAUUAGAAGGCAUCAGAUCCCUGGAACUGGAGUUUCAGAUAGUUGUGUGCUUCCAUGUGGGUGCUGGGAAUCAAACCGAGGUCUUAAAAGUAGUAAAUGCUUUUAAGUGCUGAGCCUACCCAUAUCUCCUACCCAUAUCUUCUACCCAUUGUAUACAUUGUAUAUAAAUAUGUACAUGAAUUGAGACAGUGUUUCUCUGUGUAGCCCUGGUUGUGCUGGAAGUUGCUUUAUAAACCAGGCUGGCCUUGAACUCAGAGAGAUCCAAAUACACACACACACACACACACACACACACACACACACGUCAGGGGCCACCAUAGGACAAGCUAAUAACUAGCAGGUAAUCUUUCAGACAUGGUUUGCCUCAGAUUAAAAUAAUCCAUGACAGAUUUGCUCCUAUAGGCAAGGCCCAGGAGAAAAUCAUUUUUGGAAAGAUUACUAUUAACAUGCUUUUCCUGUUAUUAUCACAUAUAUAACAAUCACUAGGUAGUGACCCACCAUUUUGAGCAGAUCUCUGCAGAACAAUGAAGAUGUGUUUUCUUGUAGUGAUGUCUCAGCUGAUGUCUCAUGGCCCUCACUCAGCUUUUUGGGUAUCUUGUCCAGGUUUAAGGUGUAGUACCAUGCCACAAAUUGGGAUGAACUUCAUGAUGUUGGUUCAAACCUUGGACACUGGAAAGCCAUAUGUACCUAUGGUAUGGCACAUGUAAGCUCAGGAGGUUGUAGGUGAGCCAUUUUAUGUUGCCGUACUGGAGCUUGAGGGUGAAUCUAAACUUUUGAAAAUAUGUGUAUGUGUGUGAGCCUCUGUGAGUAUAUGUGUACCACAUUUGCACUUGAGCCUGUGGAGGCUAGAAAAAGGCAGUCCUGAACUUACAUGUGGAUGUUAGGAACUGAACUCGGGUCCUCUGGAAAGAGUGGAAGUGCUCUUAGUCACCAUCCAGUGCGUGUACGUGGGAGGUACUGGAAUCCUGAGGACAACUGUCCCACAGUACCUACAGUGAAACGGGGUUGGAAUUGGUCCCGGGACUCCAAACCAAAACCCAAGGUUCCAUGAGGUCUCUCAUACAAAAUGGGACUUGAUAAGUGAGCACCCACAUUCUGUAGUUUGCAGGUAAAAUACUUCUACAGACGGACCGUUCCUCUCUAGUACUCACUGCAGUGGGUCUGUUACCAGUAACUCAAAGUCAUCACUGGAAACUAGUUUUCAGGAAAUAUGAUUUGGAUCCUUCACAGGGACCAUCGUGAUAUGCAUAUGUUUUGUCAACUCAAGUACCCAAGUUCACGGCUUGUCCAGAUUUGUGUUCUAUUGCUGUGAUAAAGGCUAUGACAAAAAGCAAUUUGAAGAGGAAAAAAUUUAUCUCAUCUUUUAGCUUAUAGUCCCUCAUAGAAGGAAAUUAGGGCAAGAACUUGAGGCAGAAACCUAAGCAGGGAUAAGGGAAGAGCAUGGCUCACUAGUUUGAUCCCAUGGAUUGCUCAGCCUGCUCGCUCUCACUUGCUUGAGCGCUCUCUCUCUCUCUCUCUCUCUCUCUCUCUCUUUCUCUCAAGAUAUAGUCUCUCUGUGUAGCCCUGGCUGUCCUGGAACUUGAUUCACAGACCAGGAUGGUCUUGCUGGAACUCAGAGCUCUAUCUACCUCCUAAGUGCUAGGAUUAAAGGCAUGUGCCACCACUGCCUAGCUUUAGUUUCCAAUCUUUUACUGCCAGGACCACCCAUCCAGAGAUGGCACUGUUGAUAGUGGGCUGGAUCCUCCUACAUCAAUCAUUAAUCAAGAAAAUGUCUUCGUUACAGGCCAAUUUAAUGAAGACAUUUUAUCAAUUGACGUGAAUCUUCUCUGUAAAAGCAAGUGGCACAGUUUUUUUGUUUUGUUUUUUUGUUUUUUGUUUUUUGAGACAGGGUUUCUCUGUAUAGCCCUGGAUGUCCUAGAACUCACUCUGUAGACCAGGCUGGCCUCAAACUCAGAAAUCUGCCUGCCUCUGUCUCCCAAGUGCUGGGAUUAAAGGCGUGUGUCACCACUGCCCAGCUACUUUUUUUGUUGUUGUUAAAGAUAAUUACUGAUCAUGUACCUCUGGCUGCCUUGUUGGGCAGCCUGGCACUUAGUAUGUAGACCAGGUUGGCCUGGAACUUACUUUCUUUUUUUUUUUUUUUUUUUUUCUCUGUGCAGUCCUGGCUGUCCUGGAACUCAUUCUGUAGACCAGGCUGGCCUUGAACUCAGAAAUCCACCUGCCUCUGCCUCCCGAGGCCUGGAACUUUCAAUGAUUCCCCUAGCCUUUGCACCCCAAGUGCUAUUCUUGUUCUAGCGACUUUCAACAUUUGAUUACCCCUGAUUUUGAUUCAUGACCCAAAUUUGUAGAUAUUUUAAGUAGAUUGUGUGGCUGCACACAUGUGAGUUUGUAAGUUUUAGGUCUGUACAGAGCUUCAGGUUAUCCAGGGAUAUAUAGUGAGAACUUUUCUCAAAAAAGAAAAAAAAAUUUUUUUUUUAAUUUUCUGUUUACAAGUAUGUGUGUGCCGGAAGAGGUUCAAAGAGGGCUUCGGAUCCCCUGGACAUUAUCAAUAGUGGGCAAGGACCUCAGGUUUCUGGAGAGAACAGCAAGAGCUCUUAAUGGCCCAGCCAACUCCCAAGUCUCUUCAGUUAUAUUUUUUCCAAGAAUUACAUAAAAGAGGCUAUUACACGGUCUUUUUUCUUUCUGCCUCACUUUUCCGGGUGUCUUGAAUACCAAUACAUACACUCCAGAAAAGGUAGAACUAGGUUAUCUACAGAUUUGCACGAACAUUGAUUUACCUCACAGUGCCUCUGGCUUCACUCCAGUAAUUAACAUCUCGAUGGAGUUGCUACUUGAGCGAGCCUCCUAUCAGUCCACAACAAGGCUUGGUGACCAGAACUUGGUGACUGGAGUCCUAAUGCAGUCUAUAUCGUGGGUAGAAGUUGUGCAGCGAAACACUUACGAUGUAUGAAUCUCUGGGUCUGGUAAUCUAGCAAGGCAAACCAGCCUUGGCUAUAUAGUGAGUUGCUUCUAAAUAUAACCACACC
rnacentral:lncRNA from 1 species